UGGUAAUAUGUAAGGGU
rnacentral:piRNA from 1 species